AGCGCUUCUCGGUCUUUUGGCUAAGAUCAAAGUUCAGUUUCUGUUCUUAUUGAAUUAACCUUCGGUAGAGAUUCGAAUGAGUCUCGUUAAGAGACUGGACGAGGUUGUGGGCUUGCUCACGCCUCGUCACGGGUCGGCCCAGCGUUGCACUGCUGCUGGGAUCGGCCUACCUCCU
rnacentral:snRNA from 1 species